rnacentral:rRNA from 1 species
UAGGGAAUCUUCGGCAAUGGGGGCAACCCUGACCGAGCAACGCCGCGUGAGUGAAGAAGGUUUUCGGAUCGUAAAGCUCUGUUGUAAGUCAAGAACGAGUGUGAGAGUGGAAAGUUCACACUGUGACGGUAUCUUACCAGAAAGGGACGGCUAACUACGUGCCAGCAGCCGCGGUAAUACGUAGGUCCCGAGCGUUGUCCGGAUUUAUUGGGCGUAAAGCGAGCGCAGGCGGUUAGAUAAGUCUGAAGUUAAAGGCUGUGGCUUAACCAUAGUACGCUUUGGAAACUGUUUAACUUGAGUGCAAGAGGGGAGAGUGGAAUUCCAUGUGUAGCGGUGAAAUGCGUAGAUAUAUGGAGGAACACCGGUGGCGAAAGCGGCUCUCUGGCUUGUAACUGACGCUGAGGCUCGAAAGCGUGGGGAGCAAACAGGAUUAGAUACCCUGGUAGUCCACGCCGUAAACGAUGAGUGCUAGGUGUUAGACCCUUUCCGGGGUUUAGUGCCGCAGCUAACGCAUUAAGCACUCCGCCUGGGGAGUACGACCGCAAGGNU